GUGAGGAAUUUUCCGCAAUGGGCGAAAGCCUGACGGAGCAAUGCCGCGUGAAGGAUGAAGGCCUAUGGGUUGUAAACUUCUUUUCUCAGAAAAGAAUUAUGACGGUAUCUGAGGAAUAAGCAUCGGCUAACUCUGUGCCAGCAGCCGCGGUAAGACAGAGGAUGAAAGCGUUAUCCGGAAUGAUUGGGCGUAAAGCGUCUGUAGGUUGUUUAAAAAGUAUUCUGUCAAAGAUUAGGGCUUAACUCUAGAUAGGCAGAAUAAACUUUUAAGCUAGAGUUUGGUAGAGGCAGAGGGAAUUCCGGGUGGAGCGGGGAAAUGCGUAGAUAUCGGGAGGAACACCAAAGGCGAAGGCACUCUGCUGGGCCAAUACUAACACUGAGAGACGAAAGCGAGGGGAGCAAAUGGGAUUAGAAACCCUAGUAGUCC
rnacentral:rRNA from 1 species